GCAGCGUCAGAUGUGUAUAAGAGACAGGUGAGUCAUCGAAUCUUUGAACGCACCUUGCGCCCUUUGGUAUUCCGAAGGGCAUGCCUGUUUGAGUGUCAUGAAACCUCACCCCACUUGGGUUUUUGCCCGAGCGGUGGUGGAUUGGGUGUUUGCCGUCACUGGCUCGCCUUAAAAGUAUAAGCAACCUUGGAUGUAAUACGUUUCAUCCUUCUGGGUGGCUGAUAACCAACCAUAACUCAUGAUCUGGCCUCAAAUCAGGUAGGGCUACCCGCUGAACUUAAGCAUAUCAAUAAGCGGAGG
rnacentral:misc_RNA from 1 species